GCUAUGGUAUUUGUGCCAAAAGGCUUGAACAACAGACGUUUGAAUCAGGGCAGUGAUGUGUAAUGUCCAUGAGGUGGCAUCCCACUGGCCUCUUCGUUGGAGGCUUCCAUGUCCCAAUAUUUGGAGACCAGUGUUCAAAUGUUAUUUGUGUGUGUUGCAACUGUUGAAUGAUCACAUUACUGAGCUGCUGCUUUGUUUCUUUUAGUUCCAAUGUGGGCUCACUGGAAUGAAUAGAUCGACAUAUGAACAAAAGAGCAAACACUCCACUUGGUAACGGACAGCUGUAUUUAGAUAAGGAAAGGCUCAGAUAGAGCAACACCUGUGCUGCAUAAUCUCACAUCAACUAUAUGAUCAAAGAUCUGCUACAACUUGCCUUGAUGUCUCGGGAAAUGAAGAAUUAAAAUUAAUCAUCCUCAUGAUUGACCAAUAGUCAUCAACUCCUGUGUACUAGAAAGGGCAUGUUUUUGAGAGUCCACUGAUAAGAGGAGUGUACCAAACCUGGCUGGAUGGACUUCAAUGUUAAUUAGCUCACUGACACUGUCCAACAGGAGGAACAAUCGGUCAGGCAAACUGAUGGUGUAAAGUUCCAAAACAAGCAUGAGUUGCAAAGUUUAAGUGGGAUUGAAAAAUUGGAUGAGAGGUAGCUAAACAGCUUGGAGCUGUGAACAAGAUACAGAAUGGCCACCAGACCUCCUUAAUGAGCUCUCCUGUGUUCCCUGCAGUAAAAGCCACUUUAAACCUGAAGAAAACCAUAUUAUCUUUCCUUCAGCAGAUGCUGCAAGCUUUGUUUUUUUAGUCAAUAAGCCCAAGGAGCUUUUAUCAGUGAACCAGCCACCUGGUAUCUUUUGCAAACCAGUGGAAGCAUCCAGAAGAAGGAAGACCAAGAAGCAGCAUUUUGAUCACGAAAAGAACCACUAAACCAACCGUAACACCCAUGUUUUCUUAUGUGUGUGUGUAAGUUAAGGGGAGUCGGUUCAUAACUAUUUACCUGUAGAGUUUAUUUUCCUCUGAAUAAAUAGUAGUUUUUGUUAAAUACAGUAGCCUAGUCCAUGUUUUCUGUCAGUCAGGGAUCAAGGACAGGUAAAUUGGUGAAUUAUGCAUAUUUUAAAAAAUCUUUUUUUGUUGUGACAACAUCAGGAAUACUAGGGUUUUAUUUCCAGCUCACUACCCCAGCAAGUCAUGACAAUGUCCUCCAUUUUGAAAUCUACUAAAUAUAGUAGAGCAAAAAUAUAUGCAUCAAAAUAAUUUCAUAUGACCGUCUGCAUUUGACAGAUGUUAUUGACGUUUGCUAUGAGAAAUUUGUUACUAAUCAAGAUAUAAAUUAUGUCUCUUAUUACAGUCAGAUAUUGUUUUCCUGGCAAGUCGAUGACAAA